GACGAACGCUGGCGGCGUGCUUAACACAUGCAAGUCGAACGGUAAGGCCCUUCGGGGUACACGAGUGGCGAACGGGUGAGUAACACGUGGGUGAUCUGCCCUGCACUUCGGGAUAAGCCUGGGAAACUGGGUCUAAUACCGGAUAGGACCCUGGGAUGCAUGUCCUGGGGUGGAAAGCUUUUGCGGUGUGGGAUGGGCCCGCGGCCUAUCAGCUUGUUGGUGGGGUGAUGGCCUACCAAGGCGACGACGGGUAGCCGGCCUGAGAGGGCGACCGGCCACACUGGGACUGAGAGACGGCCCAGACUCCUACGGGAGGCAGCAGUGGGGAAUAUUGCACAAUGGGCGCAAGCCUGAUGCAGCGACGCCGCGUGAGGGAUGACGGCCUUCGGGUUGUAAACCUCUUUCAGCACCGACGAAGCGCAAGUGACGGUAGGUGCAGAAGAAGGACCGGCCAACUACGUGCCAGCCGCCGCCCGUAA
rnacentral:rRNA from 1 species